rnacentral:rRNA from 1 species
GCAAGUCGAACGGUAACAGUUCCUUCGGGAAGCUGACGAGUGGCGCACGGGUGCGUAACGCGUAUGCAACCUACCUCUAUCAGGGGGAUAGCCCGGAGAAAUCCGGAUUAAUACCCCAUAGUAUUGUUGAUUGGCAUCUAUUAACAAUUAAAACUUCGGUGGAUAGAGAUGGGCAUGCGUCCUAUUAGUUUGUUGGUGAGGUAACGGCUCACCAAGACUUCGAUAGGUAGGGGGCCUGAGAGGGUGAUC